AUAUAGAUAGAUAAAUAGAUAAAUUAGAUAGAUAGGUAGAUAGGUAAAUAAAUAGAUACUUUGUGUUGAUUAAUUUGUUAUUUCAUAGAUUAUUUUUAUUUUAUUUGUAAAUGUAUUUAAAUGUUUUUUAAUUUUUUAUAAAAUAUAGAAUAUUUAUAUUCAUUUAAUGUUUUUUUUAUUAAUAAGACUAUUUAUAUAAAAGUAUCUAUUAUUUAUUUUUUAUUUAGAAUAUAUUUUUAUAUA
rnacentral:tRNA from 1 species